UACGGGGGGGGCAAGCGUUGUUCGGAAUUACUGGGCGUAAAGGGCUCGUAGGUGGCCAACUAAGUCAAACGUGAAAUCCCUCGGCUUAACCGGGGAACUGCGUCUGAUACUGGAUGGCUUGAGUUUGGGAGAGGGAUGCGGAAUUCCAGGUGUAGCGGUGAAAUGCGUAGAUAUCUGGAGGAACACCGGUGGCGAAGGCGGCAUCCUGGACCAACACUGACACUGAGGAGCGAAAGCCAGGGGAGCGAACGGG
rnacentral:rRNA from 1 species